rnacentral:piRNA from 1 species
CGAAAAGAUGAGGCGUAUAAUGACACU